UAGGGAAUAUUGCAAAAUGGGCGAAAGCCCGAUGCAGCAGCGCCGCGUGGGCGAUGAAGGCCUUCGGGUCGUAAAGCCCUUUUUGAGGGGAUGAGGAAGGACAGUACCCUCAGAAUAAGCCUCGGCUAACUUCGUGCCAGCAGCCGCGGUAAUACGAAGGGUGCAAGCGUUACUCGGAAUUACUGGGCGUAAAGCGUGCGUAGGCGGUCUGUUAAGUCUGCUGUGAAAUCCCCGGGCUCAACCUGGGAAUGGCAGUGGAAACUGGCGGGCUAGAGUACGGUAGAGGAUGGUGGAAUUCCCGGUGUAGCGGUGAAAUGCGUAGAGAUCGGGAGGAACACCAGUGGCGAAGGCGGCCAUCUGGACCAGUACUGACGCUGAGGCACGAAAGCGUGGGGAGCAAACA
rnacentral:rRNA from 1 species